GACAGAGGAUGCAAGCGUUAUCCGGAAUGAUUGGGCGUAAAGCGUCUGUAGGUGGCUUUUAAGUCCGCCGUCAAUCCCAGGCUCAACCCUGGACAGGCGGUGGAAACUACCAAGCUGGAGUACGGUAGGGGCAGGAGGGAAUUUCCGGUGGAGCGGUGAAAUGCGUAGAGAUCGGAAAGAACACCAACGGCGAAAGCACUCUGCUGGGCCGACACUGACACUGAGAGACGAAAGCUAGGGGAGCGAAUGGG
rnacentral:rRNA from 1 species